CCUUUUAUCUGUUGAAAAGUCCAGAAACAAUGGAGAGAGAUAGAGAGCUUCGAUUUCCUCCAGUCCACUGUCAUCUCUUCCCUUUUUCUGUCAUCCUCCACUGUAUUUUAUCUCCCCCCUAUAGUUUCCAGUGAUCACGCGGUGAAAGUGGAGACUCGGCGUCUUUAUGUCAUACCCAGGUUGUCCGUCGUGCUUCCCUGUCUCUACUUGUUUUCUUUGUUGCUUCUCCAUUCUCGCUGUUCACGUACACACAGCUGGGGUCCGAGAAUCAGGUCGUCGGAGUUGCUCGUGAUUUUUUUUCCUUCUUCUAUUGUUGCUGUGGUUAAGUGCAUCUGGUCCUUGAGCCUGCUUGUGCAUUUCUAAAGAGAGAAAGAGGAGUGGUCUGCCAUUGGUUGAAGCUGGAAAUAGGAGAACUCCUCUCCCUGUUCUGUCGGCUUCUUCUCGUUCUCUCCCUCCUCUGUUACUGUUGGUACUUAAGGACAAAGCAGUGAUUAGGGUAAAAGGAAAAAGUCUGGACUGGCAUAGUGUUGCCUUGGUCGUGUGAAAGCUCAGAGUAUUGUGUAAUAAACUAAGAAAUUGUAUAUAUAUGUGUAUAUAAGUUGCCAUAGGGUUGCAUGCAUGAUUUGAAUGUUUGAUAUGGGUUUUGGUUAAAAGUGUAGAGAUUGGUGGUGAAUCUUAACCCAUGUGUGAAAUUAUGAUAAAAUGAGUAAUUAGGGGCUAAGAUUGUAUUGUGAAUAUGUUAUGGAGGUGGUUAUAAGUGAAUAUGUGUUGAGAAAAGGCUAAGUUGUGCCAAAUGAUGAAAAAUUGUGAAAAGUUGUGAAAUGUGAAAAUAGGCUGUUGAAUAGCUAGAUUUUGAUAUAUAUAUAUAUAUAUAUAUGUAUAAUUGUAAUAUAUUAUAAUUAAUCAGGUGUAGUAGUCCUUUUGGACUUAGUUCAAGGCCUUGUGUGGUCUAAUGAGAGAAAGGAAUCGAUUUGAGUGUUUGAGUGUGCAAAAUUUUCAGAAACUAGCUUUUUGCACCUAGGUGUCCAAAUAUCGAUCGGACUGUUAGAUCGUGUCUAAAUAUCUCAUUAGAUAAGUUUCAUGUAGGUGCUUGAAUCACUCCAAUCAGACAUUGUAUGUGAAAAUAGCACAAGCCAAAAGUUCAUUUUGCUGUCAAAAUGAUAGCAGAAAUUUCAAACUAGUGAGCCACAGCUCAUCUCAUAGAAAGUAAGGAGCGCAGCUCUGUGCCAUAUGCUACAGUGCAUGUACUGCAUGCCACGACACAGGCCAUUUUCUAACCUGAUUUCUUAGUUUUUAGUAUAUGCAUUGAUUAAGAUGAAUAUAUAUGAUUUAUUUUAAGUGUGUUGCUCUAAUGCAUUAUGAUUUUGAUAAUUUUGCAAAAUAGGUCUUUGGCCAAAACUUUUCAAACAAUAUUUGAUUAUUGAUUUGUGUGAUUGAUGUGGUGAUUGGGUUAACUUUCUCCUAGAUCAAGUAAAUAUAGGAGGAGGUUACAGAAAUAACCCUUAUGCAUUCAUAACACUAUUUGCUUGCAUUGAAAACUGCAAAAUUAGGUUAGAUUAAGGGCCAUGCAUUGCGGCGGGUAGCACAUAGGCUGCGGUAUGUGGCAUAGAACCAUACAUCCUAAUCUUCUCUGUGUCAUGUGAUGCGGUAUGAGACACCAAAUUUGUUGCUGUUAUUUGACAGCAGAAAUGAUGAACUUUUGGCAUGCACCAUUUUUACAUACGAUUUCCAAUCGGAGUGAUUCAAGUACCCAUAUGAAGCUUAAUUUAUAAGCUAGCUAAUGAGGUAAGUUUGGACACAAUCUCACAGUCCGAUUAAAAUUUGAACACCCAAUUGCAAAAAGUCAUUUUUUAUCUAAAUUUAACGCACCCAAGCACUCAAAUUGAUUCUAUUAUCUCAUUAGACCAUUUUAAGCCUUUAACUAAAUCUCAAAGGACCUAAUACACCUGAUUGACCAAGUUAUAUAACAAUUACACAAAUAUUAUCAUAAUUUAGCCAUUCAAUAGCCUAUGUCUACAAAAUAUAAAUUUGCAUAACUUGGCACAGUUGGGCCUACUUGGCCCUUUUUAACCACAUAUAUCCACAUUCACCACAUGGUCAUAACUAAAUCUUAGCCUAUCCAUUCAUUUCACCAUAUAUUUCCACACAUGGGCUAAGAUUCAUCAAAAUUCACAACAUUCACCACAAUCUCUACAUUCAACAACUUAUAACCAUUCAAAUCAUAUAUACAACCCUAUGGCAACUUUGUGGUGAAUUAUCGUUGCCUUUUAUAGCGAUUUGGCUAAAUUGCUAUGAUUUUUUUUUUACCAUUGAAUAAAGUAAUGGCUUCAUAAAACACUACAAGAACUACUACUAAACAAAAGUAUAUGUAGCCCAAGUGCAUUUAUUUUGGUUGUUGGAUGUUUUCUUUCA